rnacentral:tRNA from 1 species
GAAAUAUUUUGCCAAUAUUAGAGCCGCUAACUCUAAGCAUAACGGUUCAACUCCGUUAAUAUUUCU